rnacentral:rRNA from 1 species
CAGCAGCCGCGGGAAUACGAAGGGUGCAAGCGUUAAUCGGAAUUACUGGGCGUAAAGCGUGCGUAGGCGGUUUGUUAAGUCUGUUGUGAAAUCCCCGGGCUCAACCUGGGAAUGGCAAUGGAUACUGGCAAGCUAGAGUGUGUCAGAGGAUGGUGGAAUUCCCGGUGUAGCGGUGAAAUGCGUAGAGAUCGGGAGGAACAUCGGUGGCGAAGGCGGCCAUCUGGGACAACACUGACGCUGAGGCACGAAAGCGUGGGGAGCAAACAGGAUUAGAUACCCGCGUAGUCCCUGUCUCUUAUAC